AAUUUGAUACACCCUUGUGCUGGACCGACCAGGGUUACUUUUUUUGAAGCGCGGCCGAAGGCCGCCCACGCAAAAAGGAGUUCUACGCGAAAAGAAUUUGAUACACCCUUGUGUUGGACCGACCAGGGGUUUCUUUUUUUGAAGCGCGGCCGAAGGCCGCCCACGCAAAAAGGAGUUCUACGCGAAAAGAAUUUGAUACACCCUUGUGUUGGACCGACCAGGGUUAUUUUUUUUGAAGCGCGGCCGAAGGCCGCCCACGCAAAAAGGAGUUCUACGCGAAAAGAAUUUGAUACCCCCCGGUGUUGGAUCGACUAGGGGUUAUUUUUUUUGAAGCGCGGCCGAAGGCCGCCCACGCAAAAAGGAGUUCUACGAGAAAAGAAUUUGAUACACCCUUGUGCUGGACCGACCAGGGUUACUUUUUUUGAAGCGCGGCCGAAGGCCGCCCACGCAAAAAGG